AGUGAACGCUGGCGGUAGGCCUAACACAUGCAAGUCGAACGGCAGCACAGGAGAGCUUGCUCUCUGGGUGGCGAGUGGCGGACGGGUGAGGAAUACAUCGGAAUCUACUCUGUCGUGGGGGAUAACGUAGGGAAACUUACGCUAAUACCGCAUACGACCUACGGGUAAAAGCAGGGGACCUUCGGGCCUUGCGCGAUUGAAUGAGCCGAUGUCGGAUUAGCUAGUUGGCGGGGUAAAGGCCCACCAAGGCGACGAUCCGUAGCUGGUCUGAGAGGAUGAGCAGCCACACUGGAACUGGGACACGGUCCAGACUCCUACGGGAGGAAGCAGUGGGGAAUAUUGGACAAUGGGCGCAAGCCUGAUCCAGCCAUACCGCGUGGGUGAAGAAGGCCUUCGGGUUGUAAAGCCCUUUUGUUGGGAAAGAAAUCCAGCUGGCUAAUACCCGGUUGGGAUGACGGUACCCAAAGAAUAAGCACCGGCUAACUUCGUGCCAGCAGCCGCCGUAA
rnacentral:rRNA from 1 species